rnacentral:rRNA from 1 species
GACGAACGCUGGCGGCGUGCCUAAUACAUGCAAGUCGAACGCUUCUUUUCCCACCGGAGCUUGCUCCACCGGGAAAAGAGGAGUGGCGAACGGGUGAGUAACACGUGGGUAACCUGCCCAUCAGAAGGGGAUAACACUUGGAAACAGGUGCUAAUACCGUAUAACAAUCGAAACCGCAUGGUUUCGUUUUGAAAGGCGCUUUACGGUGCCGCUGAUGGAUGGACCCGCGGUGCAUUAACUAGUUGGUGAGGUAACGGCUCACCAAGGCCACGAUGCAUAGCCGACCUGAGAGGGUGAUCGGCCACAUUGGGACUGAGACACGGCCCAAACUCCUACGGGAGGCAGCAGUAGGGAAUCUUCGGCAAUGGACGAAAGUCUGACCGAGCAACGCCGCGUGAGUGAAGAAGGUUUUCGGAUCGUAAAACUCUGUUGUUAGAGAAGAACAAGGGUGAGAGUAACUGUUCACCCCUUGACGGUAUCUAACCAGAAAGCCACGGCUAACUACGUGCCAGCCGCCGCCGUAA